AGUGCCAUUGAGUUACGACCUCGGUCCCAAGAUCGCUGAGCCGCCACCGUUGCUGUGGCGGCCUUGGCCGUUGCUUAAAGUUCAAUUAAAAGUAAUUAAAUCUUCUACAAGUGCAAGUCACACCCAUGGAGAUCUAAAUACAACUAUACAAGUACAACUCUUAAUGCACUGAGCAAUAGUACAAAACAAACGUCACAAUUAUUUAAAGACUUAAAUAUUCUUUAUCUGAAAAUUUAAAGAAACCAGAAACAAAAAUGCAACUGGUAUUUGAGUUAUAUCAAUAAUCGAGAAACUCAUUUCCAAUAAAAAAAAAUAUGCUUCAUCCAUUUAACAAAAGUAAAACAGGAACAAAAAUGCAACUGGUGUUCAAGUUAAUCAAGAAAGGCAGUUCCAAAAUACUAUAUGAUUGACGAAUAAAUAAAUAGACAUAACAAGAUGACUUAAAUGACUGAAUACCAACAAGAAAAAAAAAGUUACGCGCUCAUGGAUCUAUAAAAGAAUUAAUACAUUCAAUCAAACAACAAUAAUUAAAAAAAAAAAAAA